rnacentral:rRNA from 1 species
AUGCACUUGGGAAAUGGUUCCAAGGUCGAUGUGAUCACCGUCGGCACGCUACCUCUACAUCUACCAUCGGGAUUAGUUUUAGACCAGAAUAAUUGUUAUUUGGUGCCAGCGUUGAGCAUGGACAUUAUAUCUGGAUCUUGUUUGAUGCGAGACGGUUAUUCAUUUAAAUCAAAGAAUAAUGGUUGUUCUAUUUAUAUGAGUAAUAUCUUUUAUGGUCAUGCACCCUUGCUGAGUGGUCCAUUUUUGUUGAAUCUCGAUAGUGAUGAUACACAUAUUCAUAAUGUUGAAGCCAAAAGAUGCAAAUUUUAA